rnacentral:rRNA from 1 species
GUCGUACGAUGAAGCUCGAGCUUGCUGGAGUGAAUUAGUGGCGAACGGGUGAGUAACACGUGAGUAACCUACCCUUGACUCUGGGAUAAGCCUUGGAAACGAGGUCUAAUACCGGAUAGGAGCACUCAUCGCAUGGUGGGUGUUGGAAAGAAUUUCGGUCUUGGAUGGACUCGCGGCCUAUCAGCUUGUUGGUGAGGUAAUGGCUCACCAAGGCGACGACGGGUAGCCGGCCUGAGAGGGUGACCGGCCACACUGGGACUGAGACACGGCCCAGACUCCUACGGGAGGCAGCAGUGGGGAAUAUUGCACAAUGGGCGCAAGCCUGAUGCAGCGACGCCGCGUGAGGGAUGACGGCCUUCGGGUUGUAAACCUCUUUCAGUAGGGAAGAAGCGAAAGUGACGGUACCUGCAGAAGAAGCACCGGCUAACUACGUGCCAGCAGCCGCGGUAAUACGUAGGGUGCGAGCGUUAUCCGGAAUUAUUGGGCGUAAAGAGCUCGUAGGCGGUUUGUCGCGUCUGCCGUGAAAGUCCGGGGCUUAACUCCGGAUCUGCGGUGGGUACGGGCAGACUAGAGUGCAGUAGGGGAGACUGGAAUUCCUGGUGUAGCGGUGGAAUGCGCAGAUAUCAGGAGGAACACCGAUGGCGAAGGCAGGUCUCUGGGCUGUAACUGACGCUGAGGAGCGAAAGCAUGGGGAGCGAACAGGAUUAGAUACCCUGGUAGUCCAUGCCGUAAACGUUGGGCACUAGGUGU